AAAAUUCAAUAGUAGUACAUGCUUCAAAGAUAAUAGUUGUUAGAAAAUUAUAGUAUAAUUUUGAAUGAUUUUGUCUAGAUAUAUUAUUAAAUUUCUAUUGUCUGAAUAAGCAAUCUGAUACUGGUAAUUAAAUUACUUUUAAAUAGGCAGUCUAUAGACUUUGUAGAUUUUACUGUAAUAAUUCUAGACAUUAAUAAUAUCAUUUUGGUGUGUAUUACCAUGUCUUGAUCAAUCAUUCCGAUAGCCAAUCAUCCCAAAAAAAAAAAAAAAGAAACAGUCCCAAAACCCUGAUCUCUGUAUAGAAUAUGAUUUCUUAAAAAUUAAAUCCAAAAGAAACAAUUGUAGUAAUAGUAUUAGAUUGGGUAAAUGAUCACCUACAUUAUUGGCACAAAAAGUUCUUUAAAUUGAGACAGUAUCAUAGAUAAAUAUAAUUUAUUGUAUACUGUAUUCAUUGUGUUAUACAGAAGUCUCAUUUUUGUAUCUUUAAAAAUAUUUAUUACCUGUGAUGUCUUUCGUCUAGUGUUAAAAGAGUAUAUUUAUUUUGAAGAUAUAAAGUAAAAUAAAUUAUGAUUUUAAAGCCAGCAGGACUAUUUCACGCGACUACAAACAACUCCACAUUAAGAGGCAUAGUGUAUAAGGCCCAAUAAAAAUAAUGAUUUAGGUUAUCACUCCUGUCUGCAUGUCUUCUAUGGUAUUGGAAAAAAUAUCAUUUUGAAAAAAAAAAAUUGGGGUUUUUAAAAAAUAUUUUUAGUAAAUAAUUAGUACUGUAGAUAUUGUUUGUACUAUAUCAUCUCAAUCAUGUAUUUUAGUUUAACAUCAAUGCACCAGCAAGCAACCCAAGAGUGGUGAUACUUGGCUGAAUUUGGUGAUAUUUGGCUAAAUUAGCAAAUAAAAAAAAGGCUCCCUUUCUCAUCACUUUUCCAGCCUAGAUAGGGUGAUAAACUAACAAUUUUUUGUAUUGGGUCUAAAGCAUUAUCUACAGUAUCCUGUAAUUGCUAAUUUACUACAUUACAGCAAUUAAACUACAUAAUGCUAUUUAUUUAAAUAAAACAUUUUGCAAA